rnacentral:rRNA from 1 species
UUGACAAUCCUGCCUCAACAAAUGCUUGUAGGAUCCGAUAAUGACACAAUUGAGGAUGUUGAUGAAACGAGCAUGUCAUCUGCUAUACCUAGCGAUGUUGAUCCAUUAGACUUUGUCUACACAAACAUCCCAGACACCACUCACGUCCUGAAACUCGACGCAAACUGCAAACACUGCAAGGCCAAAAUGUUUGUGUCUGAGACUGACGGUUUCUGCUAUCGCAAUGGACAGAUCGAACUUAAACAACUGGAACCAGUCCCAGAGCUGAUGAGACUAUGGUGCAGCAUGGAUGCAGAUUCUAGACAUUUUCGGGAGAACAUACGGUUCUUCAAUGGGCAUUUCUCCUUCACAACCCUUGGCGUCAGCCUUGAUGAGAACUACACAAACAUGAAGUCUGGGGUGUACACAUUCCGGGCACACAGCACCAUCUACCACAAUGUGCACUCGUUCGGGCCUAGCUCCCGUCCAGAACAUUUGCAGUUAUACUUCUAUGAUGACGACCCAACCAUUACUCAUCGUAAGGCGGCCACCAAGCAGUUAGACCAGGAUGUCGUGAAGAAGUUAGUAGACAUACUGAAAGAAACUCGUACUCCCAGCAAUUUAGGAGUUUGGCUGCACACAAGGACAACCUCGAUGAUUAUAGGAUAG